rnacentral:rRNA from 1 species
UGAGCAAUCUGCCCUUCUCUUCGGAAUAAGCGUUGGAAACGACGUCUAAUGCCGAAUACGACCUCCUUUCGCAUGAUCGGAGGUGGAAAGCUCCGGCGGAGAAGGAUGAGCUCGCGGCCUAUCAGCUAGUUGGUGUGGGUAAUGGCCCACCAAGGCGACGACGGGUAGCCGGCCUGAGAGGGUGACCGGCCACACUGGGACUGAGACACGGCCCAGACUCCUACGGGAGNAG